GCCUAGUUUUACGGAGUGCUCCCUCGUCUCCUCCCUCCGAUUUGUAUCGGGUGGUAUUGCCGUCCCUCGCGCUCGCUUAGCACGUUCCGACAGAAAAUUCUGGACUGGGUCUCGUAUUCCCCUCUCCUUCCUUCCUCCUUCCUCCCCCCUCGUCCAUCCCACCUCAACUCCGUCCAUUCCGCCGGCGGCAAGCGAUCCGGCGGAAAGACGUAUCGAGCGAAAGGGGGUGGUCUGCGUUCGUUUUCUGUAGCGGCCGAUAGUGCUGCAUCGACGAGACGCAUCAGGGCCAUAUUCUAGGGCGCCAAGCGUCGAUGCGUUCGAUUCAGCCCGCUAAGAGCAGAUACCACCGGAGAUCAUUGUCGGCGAGGUUCUACGUCAACCCCCGCCGUCCUUUGUUUAUCAAUUUUGUGAGGAACAUUAACUAUGAUUUGCUUCUGAGUAAGCCUGUGCAUACGCUGGGAUUGACGGUUCCGCGGUUUACACCAGAUGAAGAAGAUCAAACGUUCAACUGGGCAAGGGUGCCGUGGUGUUGCUCAACUCCUCCUCAAGGAGACUGACUCGCCGAGAUUGCCAAUGCUGUGAUGGCCAGACUAGCCUAGUAGCCUGACCUUUCCGAUGUGUCUGCACCUUGCUCCGCUUGCCGCCCAUGUUGUUGACGCCGUUGCGACACCGUCCAGCAUGGUCAUAAACUACAAGCUUGAACUGAUUCAACGACUUGACAGCCAAUUAAAGAGAGAAAGACGCUCGUGGCGGAUGGCACUGUUGUUGUUUUGCAGCUGACGGCGUGAGUUCUGUUCUGGACUAAGAUUUAAUCUGGGAUUUUUUCAAGUCUCAAUUGUUACAGAAGGUGCAACGACAACUCUAAUCUACCGAACAAAAUGACCAUUCAUGAUACCACUUA